AGUGAAAGGGUCAGUCAGUCUUUCUCUUUCCGGCGGAGCAGUCAGCAGUCAGUAGUGUUUAGUGAGAAGUUCUCGGUUUGUGUCGACGCUCUUAACGUUGUGGAGGUCACGUUGCGGUUCGGUGUUUGGACACAUGAUUGGAAGCUGGAUACUGGUUGCUAGACUGUUAUAUGGCCCCUCCGAGCAUGUGUGUAUAAAGUAGACGUGACGUGUCAGGACUCAAUUGAUUUGACUGAAAUGGAUAGCUAACGCGUGCCAGACUAAGAUAACGAUGUCAUACCUUAGACUGAAAUUACGGUAUCGUACCAUAACCCGAAAUUACAUGAAGUGCUUGAAGCAGCAGUGGUAUCAGCAGACUUUAUCAUCCUCAGCCAAGCGGAUAUUACGGAAGUAUUACCUCGAAAAGAGAGUCUAUUGAAACGGCCAGAGAUCAUAACUACACACCGGUUAACUGCUUUUCUCUGAAAAAAUAAGUGUGGCGGGCUGCUGCUGUACUAUAAUCAUUCAGAAAACUUUCAUGAAUAUAUUAGUUCUUUUACCUGG